UACGUAGGGGGCAAGCGUUGUCCGGAUUUAUUGGGCGUAAAGAGCGUGUAGGCGGCCAGACAGGUCCGUUGUGAAAACUCGAGGCUCAACCUCGAGAUGUCGAUGGAAACCGUCUGGCUAGAGUCCGGAAGAGGAGUGUGGAAUUCCUGGUGUAGCGGUGAAAUGCGCAGAUAUCAGGAAGAACACCUAUGGCGAAGGCAGCACUCUGGGACGUGACUGACGCUGAGACGCGAAAGCAUGGGGAGCGAACAGG
rnacentral:rRNA from 1 species